CUGUUGUUUUCCACGCAUUUUCUGUUCUGUUUUGUUCUCAUUCUGUGACUCUGUGCUUAGUUAACGUUAACAGUGACUUAAGAUGGCGGAUUCUGCAGAUGUCACCCACGAUGUUGUGUCCCUCCUCUCUUCUCCUCAAAGGGACUUUCUUCUUCGAAACACGGCGAUCAGGUUAAAAUUGACAGCUUGAAGGGUAAGAAACUUGGUUUGUAUUUUUCGGCAUCCUGGUGUGGUCCAUGUCAAACAUUUACGCCAACUUUGGUGGAUGUGUACAAUGAGGUUGCAAAAAAAGGUGACUUCCAGAUCGUUUUCAUUACGGCUGAUGAAGAUGAUGAGUCCUUUAACGGUUACUUUUCCAAGAUGCCAUGGCUUGCAAUCCCAUUUUCUGAUUCAGACACACGCAGCCGCCUUGAUGAAUUGUUUCAUGUGAGGGGGAUUCCCCAUCUUGCAUUACUUGAUGAAGCUGGCAAUGUUGUCACUGAAGAUGGAGUUGAUGUUAUACGCGAAUACGGUGUUGAAGGAUACCCGUUUACAUCAGCAAGGAUCCAAGAGUUGAGAGAUCAAGAAGAGGAAGCUAGGAGGAACCAGUCCGUGAGAUCUCUCUUGGUCUCUCCAUCUCGGGACUUCGUAAUAUCAUCUGAUGGAAAGAAAACACUUGUCUCUGAGCUUGAGGGCAAGACAGUUGGUCUGUAUUUCUGCGUGAAGUCAUUCGGAUCAUGCAGUGACUUUACCCCAAAGCUUGUGGAGGUUUAUGAGAAGCUGAAGGCCCAGGGGGAGAACUUUGAGGUUGUGCUGAUACCCCUAGAUGAUGAUGAAGAGUCAUUCAAGGAACUAUUAGAAAGUGUGCCUUGGUUAUCCUUGCCUUUCAAGGACAAAAUCUGUGGGAAGCUAGCUCGGUACUUCGAGCUUUCAACCCUCCCCACUUUGGUUAUUAUUGGACCAGAUGGGAAAACUCUUCAUUCUAAUGUUGCUGAGGCAAUUGAGGAUCAUGGGGUUGCUGCAUACCCAUUCACCCCUGAAAAGUUUGCUGAGCUUGAUGAAAUACUGAAGGCCAAAGAGGCAGCUCAAACCCUUGAGUCAAUUUUGGUGUCUGACGAUCAAGAUUUUGUCAUUGGGAAAGAUGGGGUGAAGAUUCCAGUGUCAGAAUUGAAGGGGAAGGUUGUCCUCCUCUACUUCUCAGCUCACUGGUGUCCUCCAUGCCGUGCAUUCCUUCCAAAACUUAUUGAUGCAUAUAAUAAGAUUAAGGAAAAGGGCAAUGCAUUAGAAGUUGUUUUCAUCUCAAGUGACAGAGAUCAAACCUCCUUUGAUGAAUUCUUUGCGGGAAUGCCAUGGUUGGCACUUCCCUUUGGGGACUCGAGGAAGAAAUUCCUGAGUCGCAAAUUCAGGGUAUCUGGCAUCCCCAUGCUUGUGGCCAUUGCAUCAAGUGGUCAGACAUUGACAACAAAAGCUCGAGAUCUGGUUUCACUCUAUGGAGCAGAUGCAUAUCCUUUCACCGAGGAGAGAAUAAAAGAAAUAGAGACAGAACAAGAAGAGACUGCAAAGGGGUGGCCGGAGAAGCUGAAGCAUGAAUUACAUGAGCAUGAGCUUGUGUUGACGCGCCGCAGGGUGUAUUACUGUGAUGCUUGCAAUGAAGAGGGACAUAUAUGGUCCUACUACUGUGGAGAUUGUGACUUUGAUCUCCAUCCAAAAUGUGCAUUGGAAAAGGAGGACAAAGAAGGAAGCAAAGAUGAUGCCAAGGAAGAAAAGUCCAAAGAUGAAUGGGUUUGUGAUGGAGAAGUCUGCAAAAAAGCCUAAAAGCUGCUUGUCAAGGGUUUUGGUGAUGAAUAAUCUGAAUAUUUGGAUGAAGUAUUGUGAACGCCCUUCCUAGUAUGUUUUAUGAGUUGUGCAGAAUAAUCUGAAUAUUUGGAUGAGGUAUUGUGAACGCCCUUCCUAGUAUGUUUUGUGAGUUGUGCAGAAUAAUCUGAAUAUUUGGAUGAGGUAUUUUGAUGUUAAUUAUGGUCUUUAAUAUAUAUGGUAUAAUGGUUUACUCUUA